AGAAAGAAAAGAAAAUACCAAGAGCAGUGUUGAAGUGGAUCCGAGGAGCAACAGGUAUUCACAAUUAACAUCAACAGACGUUUAGAAAAAGUCUUUGCAGUCAGGAGCAGGACAGCUCCUGUGUGGAGUCUGCAACUUCUUCCCAGCUGAUGUAAUACUGGACCCUACAUUGAAGGACAACAGGAUUGAAGUUUCUGAUGAAGGGAAACAUGUCGCAAUGUCUGAUGUGUCUGAAAAAGAAAGAAACCAUUUAAGGUUUACUGCUCCCCCCUGUGUCUUGGGCACAGAGGGGUUAAUGUCAGGGAGACACUACUGGGAGGUGGAGGUGAGAGAUAAUCUGUACUGGGUAGCUGGCAUCUUCAGGGGAUCUGCAGAUAGGAGACAGCCCUUGAGUCACAAGAAUGCUGUAUGGGCUGUGCAAUUGUGGAACGGAAGUGAGUUCAGUGCACUUUCUGACUCUGUCAGAACCACAUUACCUUUAACUCUGUAUUCCAAGAGAGUGGGCUUCUACGUAAACUGUGAGGAACAGCAGCUGUCAUUUUAUAACACAGAGACUCUGUAUGUCAUUCACAAUUUCAAGGUACAUUUCACAGAGAAAUACUACCCACUCUUUUGCACUGCGGACACCGAAGGCCUUUUCGUUGUUGUUCCCAAAGAGAAUAAGACAUAAAUCUGGAUAUGAAACAACGUUCUUCUCACACAAGGUUUUACCGGUGCACAUCUGGAGCUGGAGAAGCUGCUCUCAAUUCUCUCCAAAUGAAAGAAUGCAGAAACCAAUUUCAUAAGCUGGUUGCUGCUGUGAUUAAUAAUUCUUUUGUACAGUAGCUUGUGACAAUGCAGACAAAUCCUGAAUCCUGUUUAACUUUCUAGUCAAGCUCUUUACACGAUAAAUCUAAUCAAAUUAAAUGAAUGAGUUGCUUGGUUGCCACUUUUGCAAGCAUUUGUCCAAGUAACAAAAAAAAAACAGAAAGUGUGAGGGUCACCAAGAUUAGUGUUGAGAACAAUAUUUUGGCUUUGUGGUUUGUCCAGGUCUGUGGAAUCAGUGUUUGAGCAACAGUUCGUCUUGAAAUUAAACAGCUGAUGGAAGUUUCCCAGGAACAUAAAUAAGUCAGUUUCUGUCAAAAUGCUCAGUGUCCGGGUCCAAAUUUGUAACUUCAUCCUUUAUAGAGCUGCUUGUACUGCUUAGCUCUGCUAACACUUGCAUGAACCCCAGUGGAAUUCAAGACGAACUGUUGCUCAAACACUGUCUUUUACAAAUGCCCUUUUCUAUUCCUCUUUUUGUAUACUUUUAAUACCCUAAAUAAAUUCCUUUUGCCUGAGAAUAGAGAAUUCUUAAGAAUAGAGGAAGCUUUGUUUAUCAUAGCCUGAUAAUUUUUUUGUUUGAUUUUGUAUCCACAUAUUUGUGGAAAACAAGAGCUGUUUAUAUGAAAAGUAAAAAU